rnacentral:tRNA from 1 species
UGGGGUGUCGUCUAAUGGUAGGACACCAGGUUUUGGUCCUGGCAGUCGGGGUUCGACUCCCUGCACCCCAGCAA